rnacentral:rRNA from 1 species
UACGUAGGGUGCAAGCGUUGUCCGGAAUUAUUGGGCGUAAAGAGCUCGUAGGCGGUUUGUCGCGUCGAAUGUGAAAACCCGGGGCUCAACCCCGGGCCUGCAUUCGAUACGGGCAGACUAGAGUUCGGUAGGGGAGUCUGGAAUUCCUGGUGUAGCGGUGAAAUGCGCAGAUAUCAGGAGGAACACCGGUGGCGAAGGCGGGACUCUGGGCCGAUACUGACGCUGAGGAGCGAAAGCCAGGGGAGGCAAACGGG